GAAUAUUGGACAAUGGGGGGAACCCUGAUCCAGCCAUGCCGCGUGUGUGAAGAAGGCCUUUUGGUUGUAAAGCACUUUAAUCGAGGAGGAAGCUACUCUAGGUAAUACCUAGAGAUAGUGGCUGGUACUCACUGAAUAAGCACCGGCUAACUCUGUGCCACCCGCCGCGGUAAUACAGAGGGUGCAAGCUGUAAUCGGCAUUACUGGGCGUAAAGCGCGCGUAGUGGGCAAAUUAAGCAAAAUUGGAAAUCCCCGAGCUUAACUUGGGAAUUGCAUUCGGUACUGGUUGGCUAGAGUAUGGGAGAGGAUGGUAUAAUUCCAGGUGUGGCGGGGAAAUGCGUAGAGAUCUGGAGGAAUACCGAUGGCGAAGGCAGCCAUCUGGCCUAAUACUGACACUGAGGUGCGAAAGCAUGGGGAGCAAACAG
rnacentral:rRNA from 1 species